CACGCCUUUUUUUUCGGUGCUCCUUUCUCUCUCUUGACGGGCUAUUUCUUCUAAACCCAAAACUAAUUUCAUCCUUCACACGUCUCUCUCUUCAAAGAUCAAGCAGCCGCCGAAUCUUUUUCUGGAUUCACAUUGUCCCUUUUGAACGUUCUUUUGUUUUCUUCAAGAAUUGCAUAUUAGUGACUGAAAUUCAAUUUCUCUAGUUGAAAUAUAAACCGUAAUUGGUGUUUACGAAGCUCGUCCAAAAUUAAGAAACUUUGCUAUGGCUAGAAUUCGGUAAUGAAUUUCUGUGUUGUUGAAAUUAGAGCGGCUAUAGUUUCAUAUUUGGUUAGAAUUCGGAUAAUGUAUACAUAAGUAAGAUUUAUAUUUCAGUGCGUUCUGAAUAUUUAAGCGCUAUUGCUCUUGAAUUAUUCGUCAUAUGUUACAUGUUCUAUAAUUGAACCA